UCUCCUCAGUGGUGAAUGGACAAGUGAUUCCUUUCCUCUCCUCUCUAAUGUUGCUAAUAUAUAGGAAAUUCAAUAUAUUGCUCGCUAGGUUGGGGGGAAAAUGCAUCUUUGACCAGUUGCAGAUGCCAGCACAGUCUCUGAAUCAGUUCCUGUGGAGCUCAGGUCACGACAACAGUGAUGCUUUCAUCAGAUGAGAGGCUCUGCUACUGAGACUGGGGAAAACCUGCCCUGUUAGUUCCUGCCUUUGUGUCAGAACUGGUGAUCGUGUACAUGACUGCCAAGCAAACCACACUGGAGGCACAGGCACAGACAGAGCGCUGGACAGAAUGGUGCACAGAGUCCUCCUGUGCAAAACAAACAAAAAGGGCAAUAAGGAUCCUGUUUAACAGGCAUCUGGAGACUGACACUUCAGAAAAGUGUCAUAAAACAAGAACAGCUGCAUGAUUCCCACAGGCGGAGGACAAAGGUAGCAGUGAAGACAGACCAGCCAACAGGGCUUAAAGUUUUGCCAGACUCCUGGCAAAUACUACUGGAACUUACUUUAGUCUUCAACAGAACUGGAACUUUGUUACCAGAGAUAUAUAAUGGAAUUUCUCAGCUGAUAAAUGGAGCACUCCCACAAACUGAGAUUAGCAGCAAAGGGCAUCCAUUACAGCACAUACCUGAAAGCUUGCUGCUCUGCUCAAGGCUCCCGUGCAAGUCUUCAGCCUGCUGAGGGUGCUGUUUGUCACAGGUAGACUU